CACGUAGGGACCAAGCGUUGUCCGGAUUUAUUGGGCGUAAAGAGCUCGUAGGCGGUUUGGUAAGUCGGGUGUGAAAACUCAGGGCUUAACCCUGAGACGCCACCCGAUACUGCUAUGACUUGAGUCCGGUAGGGGAGUGGGGAAUUCCUGGUGUAGCGGUGAAAUGCGCAGAUAUCAGGAGGAACACCGGUGGCGAAGGCGCCACUCUGGGCCGGUACUGACGCUGAGACGCGAAAGCGUGGGGAGCAAACAGG
rnacentral:rRNA from 1 species